rnacentral:rRNA from 1 species
GACAGAGGGGGGCAAGCGUUGCUCGGAAUCACUGGGCGUAAAGGGCGCGUAGGCGGGAUGGCAAGUCGGUCGUGAAAUCCUUCGGCUCAACCGAAGAACGUCGGCCGAUACUGCCGUUCUUGAGGGAUGCAGAGGAGAUUGGAAUUCCUGGUGUAGCGGUGAAAUGCGCAGAUAUCAGGAGGAACACCGGUGGCGAAGGCGGGUCUCUGGGCCGAUACUGACGCUGAGGUGCGAAAGCGUGGGGAGCGAACAGG